ACAGUGGACGCGAGCAUCUGUGGCCAAGUUUUUAAGGGCGCACGGUGGAUGCCUUGGCACCAGGAACCGAUGAAGGACGUGGGAGGCCACGAUAGUCCCCGGGGAGUCGUCAACCAGGCUUUGAUCCGGGGGUUUCCGAAUGGGGAAACCCGGCAGUCGUCAUGGGCUGUCACCCUUGCCUGAACACAUAGGGCA
rnacentral:rRNA from 1 species